GACGAACGCUGGCGGCGUGCCUAAUACAUGCAAGUCGUGCGGACCUUGUUGAAAGCUUGCUUUUAAAAGGUUAGCGGCGGACGGGUGAGUAACACGUGGGCAACCUGCCUGUAAGACUGGGAUAACGCCGGGAAACCGGGGCUAAUACCAGAUCGUUUUUUCCUCCGCAUGGAGGAAAAAGGAAAGGCGGCUUCGGCUGCCACUUACAGAUGGGCCCGCGGCGCAUUAGCUAGUUGGCGGGGUAAUGGCCCACCAAGGCAACGAUGCGUAGCCGACCUGAGAGGGUGAUCGGCCACAUUGGGACUGAGACACGGCCCAAACUCCUACGGGAGGCAGCAGUAGGGAAUCUUCCGCAAUGGACGAAAGUCUGACGGAGCAACGCCGCGUGAGUGAAGAAGGCCUUCGGGUCGUAAAACUCUGUUGCCGGGGAAGAACAAGUGCCGUUCGAACAGGGCGGCGCCUUGACGGUACCCGGACAGAAAGCCACGGCUAACUACGUG
rnacentral:rRNA from 1 species